GACGAACUCUGGCGGCGUGCUUAACACAUGCAAGUCGAACGGUAAGGCUCCAGCUUGCUGGGGUACACGAGUGGCGAACGGGUGAGUAACACGUGGGUGACCUGCCCUGCACUUCGGGAUAAGCCUGGGAAACUGGGUCUAAUACCGGAUAGGACCGCACCGUGAGGGUGUGGUGGAAAGUUUUUUCGGUGUGGGAUGGGCCCGCGGCCUAUCAGCUUGUUGGUGGGGUAAUGGCCUACCAAGGCGGCGACGGGUAGCCGGCCUGAGAGGGUGGACGGCCACAUUGGGACUGAGACACGGCCCAGACUCCUACGGGAGGCAGCAGUGGGGAAUAUUGCACAAUGGGCGGAAGCCUGAUGCAGCGACGCCGCGUGGGGGAUGACGGCCUUCGGGUUGUAAACUCCUUUCACCAUCGACGAAGGGUUUCUGACGGUAGAUGGAGAAGAAGCACCGGCUAACCACGUGCCAGCAGCCGCGGUAAUACGUAGGGUGCGAGCGUUGUCCGGAAUUACUGGGCGUAAAGAGCUCGUAGGUGGUUUGUCGCGUCGUCUGUGAAAUUCCGGGGCUUAACUCCGGGCGUGCAGGCGAUACGGGCAUAACUUGAGUACUGUAGGGGAGACUGGAAUUCCUGGUGUAGCGGUGAAAUGCGCAGAUAUCAGGAGGAACACCGGUGGCGAAGGCGGGUCUCUGGGCAGUAACUGACGCUGAGGAGCGAAAGCAUGGGGAGCGAACAGGAUUAGAUACCCUGGUAGUCCAUGCCGUAAACGGUGGGCGCUAGGUGUGGGUUUCCUUCCACGGGAUCCGUGCCGUAGCUAACGCAUUAAGCGCCCCGCCUGGGGAGUACGGCCGCAAGGCUAAAACUCAAAGGAAUUGACGGGGGCCCGCACAAGCGGCGGAGCAUGUGGAUUAAUUCGAUGCAACGCGAAGAACCUUACCUGGGCUUGACAUAUACAGGAUCGCGCCAGAGAUGGUGUUUCCCUUGUGGCUUGUAUACAGGUGGUGCAUGGUUGUCGUCAGCUCGUGUCGUGAGAUGUUGGGUUAAGUCCCGCAACGAGCGCAACCCUUGUCUUAUGUUGCCAGCACGUUGUGGUGGGGACUCGUAAGAAACUGCCGGGGUUAACUCGGAGGAAGGUGGGGAUGACGUCAAAUCAUCAUGCCCCUUAUGUCCAGGGCUUCACACAUGCUACAAUGGUCGGUACAGUGGGUUGCCAGUCCGUGAGGGCGAGCUAAUCCCGCAAAGCCGGUCUCAGUUCGGAUCGGGGUCUGCAACUCGACCCCGUGAAGUCGGAGUCGCUAGUAAUCGCAGAUCAGCAACGCUGCGGUGAAUACGUUCCCGGGCCU
rnacentral:rRNA from 1 species